AUGGCGACAGUGAAGGUGAAGCAGUACCAGUUGAAGAAGUUGGCGAUGUCGCGACGGCCGUCAGCAGUGCGCAGGGUGAACUGGUUGGCCCCAAAGGCCAGGUUGCACGGCCGAAUGCCACAAGUGCCUACAACCGAGAAGAGAAGGACACAAGGAGUGCGGCAAGCUAGGAGCUGGAAACGGAACGGCGACGGAGAGCAUGUGGAUAAACAUGCCUGUGAAGGAGGACAUGGUGGCAACCGUGGUGGUAGUGCAACGUCUGAGGUAGGUGUUGCAGACGUACGCGCCGAAGAUGGUGUUGAAGUUCCUCCUGCCGAGAAGACAUUGAAGUCGGUGGCGGCGUUGACGCUUGGCAUGUGUUCAGGGUGGACACAGUCCGGGCCGGUACGGUCCCGGUCUAAGCCGACGUUUGGACCAGCUGCCGGCGGUCCGGGCCGGACCGGACCGAGCAACAUGGCGGUCCUGAUUUCAGGGACCGGACCGGCGAUGAAGAAGCCCGGAGCGGACCAGCCAACGACCAUCGGCGGCGACUUGCACGGGUGCAGCGGCGAGGUGUCGGACGUGCGCGGGUGCUGUGGCGAGGAAGCUGACAUGCGCGAGCGCCGGUGUCGAGGUGGGCGACGUGCCGUGGGAAGUGCGUGGGUGCCGCGGUUCUUUGCCAUGAACCUUCUUAUAGCUAAGAGCAUCUCCACCCGUCCCAGGAAGGCCCCCCAAGCACUCAUUUUAGCACCGGCAGCAAAAAAUGGCCCAGUCAAGCCCCCACGACCUCGUUUUGCGCUGGAUUUGAGCAAAAACAGCGCCGGCGAAACCAGCCAAAACCCAGGCUCCCGGGGGGCACUUGCGACGCCCGGCGAUACUUUAUGCAUGCAGAUACCCCCACCAAUCAGCCUCUCUCUCCUCUCUCUCUAUCCUCCUUUUUCUGCUAGCCCAUCACUUGCAUGCAAAAAAGAAUCAAUCUCCUCUCUCUCUCUGCACGAAGCCGCGCUGCGCCGCGCUCGCCUCCACACCUCCUCGCCGUUGUCUCGUUGCUGGCCGCCGCGCUCCCUUGCCACACCAAACUCCGGCCACGACAGCGGCGGCCGGCUGCACGUGCGUGUGUGCCUGGACGGGGGCUACCAUGUCGCCGACGAGCUGUGGCGCCCGCCAAUCGGCGUGCUAGAGCUUGGCAUCGUCGAGGUGUGGCGCAACGGCGGCGGUGGUGAAGAUCAUCGUCGGCGUCCACGGCAGCAAGUCGCCGGAGCCGACGUCGGUGCUGUACAACCGGAGCCCGAGCCCUUCGACCCCUCCUUCCUGCCGACGCCAGGGAGCCCCAGGCGGCGAUAG
rnacentral:rRNA from 1 species